AACGAACGCUGGCGGCAUGCCUAACACAUGCAAGUCGAACGAGACCUUCGGGUCUAGUGGCGCACGGGUGCGUAACGCGUGGGAACCUGCCCUUAGGUUCGGAAUAACUCCCCGAAAGGGGUGCUAAUACCGGAUAAUGUCUUCGGACCAAAGAUUUAUCGCCUUUGGAUGGGCCCGCGUUGGAUUAGCUAGUUGGUAGGGUAAAAGCCUACCAAGGCGACGAUCCAUAGCUGGUCUGAGAGGAUGAUCAGCCACACUGGGACUGAGACACGGCCCAGACUCCUACGGGAAGCAGCAGUGGGGAAUAUUGGAAAAUGGGCGAAAGCCUGAUCCAGCAAUGCCGCGUGAGUGAUGAAGGCCUUAGGGUUGUAAAGCUCUUUUACCCGUGAUGAUAAUGACAGUACCGGGAGAAUAAGCUCCGGCUAACUCCGUG
rnacentral:rRNA from 1 species